GGAUCCCAUCAGAACUCCG
rnacentral:snRNA from 1 species